UAGCGUAUAUUAAAGUUGUUGCAGUUAAAACGCUCGUAGUCGGAUUUCGGGGCGGGCCGACCGGUCUGCCGAUGGGUAUGCACUGGCCGGCGCGUCCUUCCUUCCGGAGACCGCGCCUACUCUUAACUGAGCGGGUGCGGGAGACGGAUCGUUUACUUUGAAAAAAUCAGAGUGUUUCAAGCAGGCAGCUCGCUCUUGCAUGGAUUAGCAUGGGAUAAUGAAAUAGGACUUUGGUGCUAUUUUGUUGGUUUCGAACACCGAAGUAAUGAUUAACAGGGACAGUCAGGGGCACUCGUAUUCCGUCGAGAGAGGUGAAAUUCUCAGACCAAUGGAAGACGAACCACUGCGAAAGCAUUUG
rnacentral:rRNA from 1 species